rnacentral:rRNA from 1 species
GAAAAGCCGGUGCAAGCGAGGUAGGAGAUGAACAGGCAAAUCCGUUCAUCAAUCCGAAGACGUGAUGCGGACCGAAUUAAGAGUAGGGAAGUGUGUGAGCCAUGCGUCAAGAAAAGCCGCUAUUGUUUUACUUAAGCCCGUACCGUAAACCGACACAGGUGGAUGAGGAGAGAAUCCUAAGGCCGACGGGAGAAGCAUUGUUAAGGAACUCGGCAAAAUGACUCCGUAACUUCGGGAGAAGGAGUGCCAGCGAGAGCUGGCCGCAGAGAAUUGGCCCAAGCAACUGUUUAGCAAAAACACAGGUCUAUGCAAAACCGUAAGGUGAAGUAUAUGGGCUGACGCCUGCCCGGUGCUGGAAGGUUAAGAGGAGAGGUUAGCGGCAACGCGAAGCUUUGAAUUUAAGCCCCAGUAAACGGCGGCCGUAACAAUAACGGUCCUAAGGUAGCGAAAUUCCUUGUCGGGUAAGUUCCGACCCGCACGAAAGGCGUAAUGAUUUGGGCACUGUCUCAACAAUGCACCCGGUGAAAUUGAAAUACCAGUGAAGAUGCUGGUUACCUGCGCCAGGACGGAAAGACCCCAUGGAGCUUUACUCCAGCUUGAUACUGGGAUUCGGUAUUGCAUGUACAGGAUAGGUGGGAGGCUAGGAAGUGAUAACGCCAGUUGUCACGGAGCCGCUGUUGGGAUACCACCCUUGCAGUAUUGGAUUUCUAACCAGCGACCAUGAACUGGUCGGGGGACAAUGUCAGGUGGGGAGUUUGACUGGGGCGGUCGCCUCCGAAAGGGUAUCGGAGGCGCUCAAAGGUUCCCUCAGAAUGGACGGAAACCAUUCGAAGAGUGCAAAGGCAGAAGGGAGCUUGACUGCGACACCGACGGGUGGAGCAGGUACGAAAGUAGGACUUAGUGAUCCGGUGGUAUAAAGUGGGAUUGCCAUCGCUCAACGGAUAAAAGCUACCCUGGGAUAACAGGCUUAUCACUCCCAAGAGUUCACAUCGACGGAGUGGUUUGGCACCUCGAUGUCGGCUCAUCGCAUCCUGGGGCUGAAGUAGGUCCCAAGGGUUGGGCUGUUCGCCCAUUAAAGCGGUACGCGAGCUGGGUUCAGAACGUCGUGAGACAGUUCGGUCCCUAUCCGGCGUGGGCGUAGGAUAUUUGAGAGGAGCUGUCCUUAGUACGAGAGGACCGGGAUGGACUGGCCGCUGGUGUAUCUGUUGCAUACCAAAUGCAUGGCAGAGUAGCCAAGCCGGGACGGGAUAAACGCUGAAGGCAUCUAAGCGUGAAGCCCCCCUCAAGAUGAGAUAUCCCUACGUAAGUAGUAAGACCCCUUGAAGACGACGAGGUAGAUAGGUCAGAGGUGGAAGUACAGUAAUGUAUGGAGCUGACUGAUACUAAUCGGUCGAGGGCAUGUCU